AAAAUAAAAAUAACUUGUAAUCUUGAUGAGAAAAAUAAAUUAGGACCAAAUUAAAAUUAGUGCAUUUUGCGGAACCGUGAGAGUAUAUAAACUGUUACAAGUCAUUUGCCGUGGUCCUCUCCUUUUCACAUAACCACAAUUCCGAUCCGAUACAAUGACGGAGACGAAGCCUCUUUCCCUCACUUCUCUCUGCAUCGGUGAUGAUGAUGGUGCUGUUGUUACAGUUUUGAUCUUCACAUGCCAUUCCCGGAUCUGAAGAUUUUGCGACUCAACGAACAACUAGAGAGCGUUCAAGGAAUUGGAAUCUAAGAUAGAGCAUAGCAGAAGUUGUUUGAGUUGUGAUGGCCUAAUCUCACUUAUCAGAUCCAACCAACUGGCUGUCAAAAAGUAUACCGGGAGACUCAUGUGUAAAAUUAUUUACACUACAAUGCAUUAUAAUUAUACACUAUUAUGUCUAUCACUUGAUACUGGUUUCACUCAAUUUAUAUUUUUCUAUUAUCUACUUGAAAUAACAGUUGUCGAUGAAGCAGCAGAGAUAACACUAAUCUCCGAUUUUAAAGAAUGUAUUGGUGACAUAAAGGUUUCAGGUACUAUGCUAAGUUGCUUUCUCCGUUACGAAAAUUUCCAACGCGAAGUGCUGUUCAGGAAAUUUGACUCGGCUAGGAUUUGUUAGAGAUGUAGCUCAUGAAUAGGGUUGAAAGGAUCUUGCCAUUUAAGCAGUGUUAUCAAAUGGCGGCGCCAUGGCCACUAUUGCGGAUAUACAUGGUGGUUUUUAAACUCGCCGCAAUGGUAAAUAUCAGCUGAUAUUGCGGGUUUUCCCGCCAUAAUCUGCUAUAACAGUGCAGCAAAGCGGUCGUGAUGGCGGGAUUUUGGCUCUCCGCUCUGGACCGCCAUCCGUCAUUGACAACACUGCAUUUAAGAAGAAUGCAGACCCUCGAAGUUAUGCAGUCAAGGGAAUUUUUCCUAUUUUCUUCUAUUAAAUCCUAAAUUUAUCUUAAUUCAAUUUUCAAAUAACUUUUCUUUAACUUUUAUAAAUUAUGUUAUCAUUAAUAUAUAUUUAAAAUAACUUUUCAUUAGUUUUAUAAUUUUCAUUAUCUUUAGGUUCUAUAUGUUUCGCUCAUCAGAGUUGCAUCUUUUGAAAUAGUUUGAGCCGUAGAUACCAAUGUGUAAAUUAUUGCAUUACUAAUCAAAAGCAAUGUAUAUGUUCUUCAAUGAGAUGUGUAUUUUUUUUCCAUCAAUCUCUUUUUUAUACUCAUUCCUUUCUCACUAAUUUUUCUAAGUAUAUUUUUGGUAAAUUGUAUUUCAUUAGAUCUAUCCAAUAUAUGUGUUGUUGUCCUUAAUAUUUUUAUGGUGUCGAUAUAAUUGUAAUUUAUUUGAAAAGAUUUUUUUGAACGGCUAUUUGAAAAGAUGUUUGAAAGUAAAGACUGUUUGUCAUCUUCCAAGGAUUGCUUUGGAAUUCUACCAUAAGGUAAUAUCUAAAUGUCUUUUUUCCACUUUUGUGUUAGUUGAUCUAUGCAAUUUUUAUGUUAUCGUCUUAAAUAUUUCCAUCAUGUCAAUACUAAUUUUUUGGACACAUUUUUCUCAACUUAAUAGUUUGAAAAAUUAUGGAUUACAUCUGAAAUAUGCCGAGUUGAAGAAACUAAUGUGUAGAUAUCAAAACAAAUGUGAUGGUUUUUCAAUGAGGUAUGUAUUUCUUUCACUAAUCUUAUUUUCUACACCGUAGUUAAUACAUCUUGACUAACAAUCACAGUAUUAACUAUUAGAAAUUAUAGAAACUUUUUAGAGUAGAAAUUAAUUUUAAAUAGUCAUAUUUAGGGCUGUCUAAAUUCUGUUUAGAACCAAACUGAACCAUGAACUGAACCAAACCACUUUUAAAAUAACUGUACUAGUUGUAUUAUUUGUGAACCAAACUGUGUUUUAACAUUGCAUCUCACUAACCAAACUGUCAAUGUCUCCGGUUCGGUAAACUAUUACUAACAGUGAAUCUAUCCAUCUUCUGCAACUCACAACAGAAAUAAAAUAUAGUGCACCAAAUCACUGAAUCAGUUUGGUUUGGUUAAGGUGAAAUGGUUGCAGUUUGGUUUGAUUCAACUUUCUCAAACUGAAUUUGUGGUUCAGUUUGGUUCGGUUCAACUUCUAGUCAUAUUACUGCAAUUUAAAACAUUUCUAUCGCAAAAUUGAAAUAUUUUUUCUGCAUAAACAUUUUAAAUAAAUAUUUUACUCAAACCCAGCACGGGUUAAACAUCCAGUAAUAAAUAGUGAUAUACAAAUUAAAAAAACUACAAUCUCAAUGGACAUAUUACUCCACUGGCAGAAACUAUGUGAAACCAGGAACCAACCUAGUUUAUAAAUUUUCUACAUUUGGGGGUUCUGCAGCGACAGGGAACCUUGUGUUCUUCCGGCUCAUCUUUAUUGAACAAGUAGUCAUAUCUGUGGCAACAUUGAAAUGGAAAAGAAGUCAGAAAAAAACUUAAUACCUGUACCAGAAAAAAUGCCUGCAGUAUUAUGUUGCAUGACAGAGCCAGAUAUGCAAGAUUGUUUGCAUGCAUAACACAUAUAUAAAAAAUAUACACAUCAAACCGUACGUUAGUUCUUCACCAGCAGAAACAUUGGUUUUGGCAAUAAGAACAAUCACGCUCUCCUCAUCACUCAAAUUCACAAUCCUUGCAAAGCAGUUUGGCAUGCACUGCAGCAAUCACAUUUAUUCAUUAUUUUUAUCAGAAACAUAAAACAUUUGUAAUGUAAAACUAACAUUUGUGCCAUUCUUUUUUCUGUCGUUUAUCAGCAUUGUAGAGGAAAUGAAGUACUAAAAAACCAAAAGAUAGGAUUAAGUGGAAACAACUUACAGAAUGGUUUAUAAUACGUGAGAUGUUUCCCUUAUUUGUUGCAUCUAUUACCACUUUGUCACUUAUUGUGAACAGCUGCAUAAUGUAUUUCAUGUGGUAUUAAGAUCAAAAGUAUAAUGAAACCAAAUGAAACAUGAUUGAGUUUUGUA